rnacentral:tRNA from 1 species
AUUUAAUUAGUUUAAUGAAAACGUUGGUUUGUGGUGCCAAAAAUGUAAAAAAAAUUACUUUAAAUC